rnacentral:RNase_P_RNA from 1 species
GUAAGACAUGCAAUCGCUGCUAGACUUAGAUCUAGGAGAGGAAAGUCGGAGCUCCAUAGGGCAGGGUGCUGGAUAACGUCCAGUCAAGGCGACUUGAAGGAAAGUGCAACAGAGAGAUACCGCCUAAUAUAUUCUAAUUUAUUAGAUGUACUAGGUAAGGGUGGAAAGGCGAGGUAAGAGCUCACCAGCAUCAUGGUGACAUGAUGGCUAUGUAAACCCCACCUGGAGCAAGGUCGAAUAGGGAAACAUUUAGGGGUUGCCCGCUCCGUUUCCGGGUGUACCGCUUGAGCUUAUUGGUAACAAUAAGCCUAGAUAGAUGAUUGCUUAAUACAGAACUCCGCUUACGGCUUGUCUCG